rfam:Stegodyphus mimosarum contig17050, whole genome shotgun sequence.
GCCUUCGUGGUGUAGUGGUCAGCACGCUCGGCGCGUAUUCGAGAGGUCAGUGGUUCAAGUCCCGGCGAAGGCA